CCUACGGGUGGCUGCAGUGAGGAAUAUUCGGCAAUGGGGGCAACCCUGACCGAGCAACGCCGCGUGGAGGAUGACGGUUUUUGGAUUGUAAACUCCUUUUCUCAGGGAAGAGUGAGGACGGUACCUGAGGAAUAAGUCACGGCUAACUACGUGCCAGCAGCCGCGGUAAUACGUAGGUGGCAAGCGUUAUCCGGAAUUACUGGGCGUAAAGCGCACGCAGGUGGUUGGGUAAGAUUGACGUGAAAACUCUUGGCUUAACUGAGAGACGUCGUUGAUGACUGCUCGACUUGAGGUGAGGAGAGGGGUGCAGAAUUCCCGGUGUAGUGGUGGAAUGCGUAGAGAUCGGGAGGAAUACCAGUGGCGAAAGCGGCACCCUGGCCUUGGCCUGACGCUCAGGUGCGAAAGCGUGGGGAGCGAACGGGAUUAGAUACCCCUGUAGUCCG
rnacentral:rRNA from 1 species